rnacentral:rRNA from 1 species
GACGAACGCUGGCGGCGUGCCUAAUACAUGCAAGUCGAACGAGAGCGACCGGUGCUUGCACUGGUCAAUCUAGUGGCGAACGGGUGAGUAACACGUGGGUAACCUGCCCAUCAGAGGGGGAUAACAUCCGGAAACGGAUGCUAAAACCGCAUAGGUUUUCGAACCGCAUGGUUUGAAGAGGAAAAGAGGCGCAAGCUUCUGCUGAUGGAUGGACCCGCGGUGCAUUAGCUAGUUGGUGAGGUAACGGCUCACCAAGGCCGUGAUGCAUAGCCGACCUGAGAGGGUGAUCGGCCACAUUGGGACUGAGACACGGCCCAACCUCCUACGGGAGGCAGCAGUAGGGAAUCUUCCGCAAUGGACGCAAGUCUGACGGAGCAACGCCGCGUGAGUGAAGAAGGUUUUCGGAUCGUAAAACUCUGUUGUUAGAGAAGAACAAGUGCUAGAGUAACUGUUAGCGCCUUGACGGUAACUAAGCAGAAAGCCACGGCUAACUACGUG